rnacentral:rRNA from 1 species
UACAGAGGUCUCCAGCGUUGUUCGGAUUCAUUGGGCGUAAAGGGUGCGUAGGCGGCGCGGUAAGUCGGGUGUGAAAUCUCGGAGCUUAACUCCGAAACUGCAUUCGAUACUGCCGUGCUUGAGGACUGGAGAGGAGACUGGAAUUUACAGUGUAGCGGUGAAAUGCGUAGAUAUCGUAAGGAAGACCAGUGGCGAAGGCGGGUCUCUGGACAGUUCCUGACGCUGAGGCACGAAGGCCAGGGGAGCAAACGGG